AUUGAACGCUGGCGGCAUGCCUUACACAUGCAAGUCGAACGGCAGCACGGAGCUUGCUCUGGUGGCGAGUGGCGAACGGGUGAGUAAUAUAUCGGAACGUACCCAAGAGUGGGGGAUAACGUAGCGAAAGUUACGCUAAUACCGCAUACGAUCUAAGGAUGAAAGUGGGGGCUCGCAAGACCUCAUGCUCCUGGAGCGGCCGAUAUCUGAUUAGCUAGUUGGUGAGGUAAAGGCUCACCAAGGCAUCGAUCAGUAGCUGGUCUGAGAGGACGACCAGCCACACUGGAACUGAGACACGGUCCAGACUCCUACGGGAGGCAGCAGUGGGGAAUUUUGGACAAUGGGGGCAACCCUGAUCCAGCAAUGCCGCGUGAGUGAAGAAGGCCUUCGGGUUGUAAAGCUCUUUUGUCAGGGAAGAAACGGUGAAGGCUAAUAUCCUUUGCUAAUGACGGUACCUGAAGAAUAAGCACCGGCUAACUACGUGCCAGCAGCCGCCGUAA
rnacentral:rRNA from 1 species